GACAAGGCAGGCUCUCCCUGUGCAGAGGAUUCCCUGGACGAGGCUCCAGCUCCACUCCAGCUCCAGGUAAGCAGUCCUUGGAGUGGCUGUCAGCCUGCUUAUAGGUCUGCCCAGAGGGAAGCUCCUGCCUCACAACUUCGUUUCUGCCUGUAACUCUGGAUCCCUAAGAGACCCGAGUAGACCUUAGCUUCCUUCUCUAAGCCACCUGGGGUUAUCCUGGACCACAGGAUCAGGGAGAUGCUGCUCUGGGAGGGAAGUGGAGGAGCAGAGGUAGGGACUUAGGUGUCCCUGACUGACCCUGAGCCAAUCCCCUGGCUCACUCCAGGCCUGCUGCUCACCUCCUCCUCCAGGACCUUGGCUGGGAUAUCAUCAUAUACUGUAAGUUUGUGAUGAGACACUACAGUAUAGAUGAUGUACUAGUCUGGGUACCCCACCUCCAGAGCCUGCCUGGUUUGCAGCAGAGAUGCAGAAGUACACGGGCUCACUGCUCGGCCUAAUCAAGCCUGCUGACAGCUGUGGCACUUGGGAAUGGCGAGGAAACCGUUACCAUUACUGAGUUUAGUAAUGGUAACGGUUCUCUUGCUGCUCCCACAAACUGUGCCAAGAAGAGCUCAUGACCCUGGAGCAGACUGCUGGAAGAAAAGGACACCCAGGCUGACAAGAGAAUGGGGUUGGGGGAAAGGGUACAUUUUCCUCUUCACUGUGCCAAAGAAAUAAAAGAUAAGAAUAAGAGCACUUGUCAUUUAACUUUAUUAGCAUCCGAGGCUGGGUGGUUGGAUGGGAUGGGAGGACCUUUGUGAGUUUAAAGCUAGCCUGAUCUAUGUAGAGAUAGCCAGCCAGUCAGAGUUGUAGGGUAAGAACCCGGUCUC
rnacentral:lncRNA from 1 species